AGAGUUUGAUCCUGGCUCAGAGCGAACGCUGGCGGCAGGCCUAACACAUGCAAGUCGAACGGACCCUUCGGGGUUAGUGGCGGACGGGUGAGUAACACGUGGGAACGUGCCCUUUGGUUCGGAAACAACACAGGGAAACUUGUGCUAAUACCGGAUAAGCCCUUCGGGGGAAAGAUUUAUUGCCAUUGGAGCGGCCCGCGUUGGAUUAGGUAGUUGGUGAGGUAAAGGCUCACCAAGCCUGCGAUCCAUAGCUGGUCUGAGAGGAUGAUCAGCCACAUUGGGACUGAGACACGGCCCAAACUCCUACGGGAGGCAGCAGUGGGGAAUCUUGCGCAAUGGGCGAAAGCCUGACGCAGCCAUGCCGCGUGAAUGAUGAAGGUCUUAGGAUUGUAAAAUUCUUUCAGCGGGGACGAUAAUGACGGUACCCGCAGAAGAAGCCCCGGCUAACUUCGUGCCAGCAGCCGCGGUAAUACGAAGGGGGCUAGCGUUGCUCGGAAUUACUGGGCGUAAAGGGAGCGUAGGCGGAUAGUUUAGUCAGAGGUGAAAGCCCAGGG
rnacentral:rRNA from 1 species